CAAUGGCCGGUCCAGACUUGAGUGGGUUUAGGCCUGUUUAACCAGCUUUAUUAAGCUUAUAAUGGAAGUGAAAAAUGCUUACAGGUAGUGAAUUAGUUUGGUUCAUUUGUGAGGAAAGAGAUGGAAGCAAUGUCCGUUGGAUCUGAUCCUCGUCUUUAUUCUCUAGUUAAGUAUUUGUUUUCUCAUGUCAAUCAUGUUAAAUCCAUUUGUCUCUCUCUGAUACCUGUUUAAUUUCUGUUGGUGGGAAAGAUAAAAAUCAGUGAGAGAAUCAAGCGUUUGCAAGAUUUAUUGCAAUGGUACAAAAACAACUUCACCCCAGAAAAUGCUGGAAUCCUUCAUGAUUCCAAGGCAUACCUUCAAUCUCUUCAACGACAAAUAACGGAACUUGAAUCUUUAGCACAACAGGGUGGAGCAACUGUAUCUUCCGAUGUUAAUGGAACAUAUCUGCAAUGCGGACAGAUUGAGGAGACUUUUUGAAGAAUUGGUUUCAGGAUUGGAACACAGGUUAUUGAGCUUGAGAAUUGGCUUAAUGAAGGAGCUUUACUUUCUUUCAUUGGAAAAUAUUGUCCAUGUUAUAGUUUUUUAUAUACACUUAUGAAUGAUGUUAUAGUUGAAUCUAAAGUUAUGUGUGAGCUAUUGGAAAGUGAUAUUUUCAUUGAAGUCAGGACCGUUAAAGACUACUGCACAUCGAAACCAAGCAAAUAUUGGUUUGAAUUAGCUGUAAAAAAGGCUGUAUCCAAGGGUAAAAAGAUAUACAAUCUUAGAUGUUUUGAUGAUGACGACCUACUUGAGUGGGUAAUGGGAUGUAAAGAAGCAAUUUGUGAACUAGAACUUAUAGAUUCUUAUUUCAAGUCUCUCAGUUUUGAUAAAUUAACUAGACUGCACAGAGUGCUGGCAUCAUUACAAGGUAUGAAAAAUGAAGUUUCGAAACUGAGAGCUUCUGAAUUUAAGUUGGCAAAUGAGUGUUUCCCUAUGGUUUAUCACCUUUUUUUCUAAAAUGCUACUGUUCAAAAAAAGUAAAAAUCUUUUCUUUUGCUGGGUUGCAUUAUACUGCAGAGAUAUAUUUGAUGAAUAUUGUGACAACUCUGAGUUGGUUUUAGUAAUCACAGUAAUUCUAGAUCCAUGAUUUGAAAUGGAUAUUGUGGAACAUCUCUGCAAUGAAAUUUAUGAUGAUGAGGCAGACACACAUUUGAAGAAAAUGUUUGAUGAUGUUACAAAUAUUUACAGUGAAUAUGCAGAGGAUGUCAACAGUUCUGAAUCAUUAUGCUCUUCAAAACAAGGUGAUGGUAGUUCUUCCAUGGGAAGACCAAAUGCAUUUCCACAGAAUGCGACUGAUGUUGCUUCACUGAAAUCAGAACUCAAUCACUAUUUGACAGAUUCUAAGGUUCAUCCACAUGAAGAGUUUGAUGUCCUGGAAUGGUGGCAUUACAAUUCUCUAACUUAUCCAACAUUAGCUAGGAUUGUUCGUGAUUUCUUAUCAAUACCUAUUUCUACUUGUUAUACUAGUUUUUGUUCUUCUUUGUGGGAUGACAUUGAUGGUAUUUAUAUUACUGGUUUGGAUGUCUGACUUAAAAUGUGCUUGGGUCUGUACAAAAGUCUGGUUGAGUGACUCUGAAAAUAAAUAAUGAAGUGUUGUUGAAAAUUUA